AGAGUUUGAUCCUGGCUCAGAUUGGACGCUGGCGGCAUGCUUUACACAUGCAAGUCGAACGGUAACAGGGUGCUUGCACCGCUGACGAGUGGCGAACGGGUGAGUAAUGCGUCGGAACGUGCCGAGUAAUGGGGGAUAACGCAUCGAAAGGUGUGCUAAUACCGCAUACGCUCUGAGGAGGAAAGCUGGGGAUCGAAAGACCUGGCGUUAUUCGAGCGGCCGACGUCUGAUUAGCUAGUUGGUGAGGUAAAGGCUCACCAAGGCGACGAUCGGUAGCGGGUCUGAGAGGAUGAUCCGCCACACUGGGACUGAGACACGGCCCAGACUCCUACGGGAGGCAGCAGUGGGGAAUUUUGGACAAUGGGGCAACCCUGAUCCAGCCAUGCCGCGUGUCUGAAGAAGGCCUUCGGGUUGUAAAGGACUUUUGUUAGGGAGCAAGUCCUGCAGGUUAAGAGCUAGUAGGGAUGAGAGUACCUAAAGAAUAAGCACCGGCUAACUACGUGCCAGCAGCCGCGGUAAUACGUAGGGUGCAAGCGUUAAUCGGAAUUACUGGGCGUAAAGGGUGCGCAGGCGGUAUUGUAAGCCAGAUGUGAAAUCCCCGGGCUCAACCUGGGAACUGCGUUUGGAACUGCAAUGCUAGAGUGUGUCAGAGGGGGGUGGAAUUCCACGUGUAGCAGUGAAAUGCGUAGAGAUGUGGAGGAACACCGAUGGCGAAGGCAGCCCCCUGGGAUAACACUGACGCUCAGGCACGAAAGCGUGGGGAGCAAACAGGAUUAGAUACCCUGGUAGUCCACGCCCUAAACGAUGACAACUAGCCGUUGGGAACCUCGGUUCUUGGUGGCGUAGCUAACGCGAGAAGUUGUCCGCCUGGGGAGUACGGUCGCAAGAUUAAAACUCAAAGGAAUUGACGG
rnacentral:rRNA from 1 species